UGCCUGUGGGGGCCAGAAAAAGUCUCAGAAAACAGAUUGGGGAAACCUUCAUUGUCUCUGGGACUCUGCGGAUACCAGGACGCCUCCUCCCACUGGGACUCAGGAGUCCACCCCCUCCUCUCUUAGUGACCCAAGAGACCACGCCCCUCCUUCCCAGGAUCCAAGAGUCCCGGCUCUCAUUCUGGGCGCUGACCGUAAGCUGAGGGGUCUGCGAUGUGUUCCUCCAUGAAGCAGCCGAAACCAGAAAGAAUUGAUUCCUUGAAUAAGGACUGACAACAAAGCAGAACUCCCAGCCAUCUCUGGGGUCAGAGCUAACACGGCAAGCUGCCUCCAGGGCUGCUGGGAAUCGCCAUCUUUCGACUCAGGAGUCCAAACCAUACCUGCGUGGCAAAGAUGGCUCUCUUCAUCAUAGUGAAGUCCUCCUUGUCCAGCAUCUUGUUCAUGUCUGGGAGGCUCCCCCUGUAAGAUGAGGAAACUGAGGCUUGAAGACGGGGAGUGGUUUGCCUAAAGUCACAAAGCCAGAGCAGGACAGGGGCAUGAGCGGGAUCUCGCCAGCUUGAUACCAGAGCCCUGGUCAUGCUGUCACACUUGUCCUGCCUGCGACUGCGACUUCGUACUGCCCCCGAGUUGCAGGCAUCUGGAGCAAGUAACUUUGCUGGGAAUCAGCCCAGGCCUUACUCUGAGCAGAUAGUUGAGCCGGGCCAAGGCCUCCAGGAAGACAUCGGCCCCCUUGUUGGAGAAUUCAUAGCGGCCAGCGAUAAAGAAGUACAAGGUCUUGUCCAAGUUGAAGUCCAGGUGCCUAAAGAAGCCACAACACAGGGUGAAGCCAAGACCCUCACCCACUAGCCCCAGCCUUGAAACUACAAACCCCAGAAGCCACAGGGGCAAAGAACAUCUUAGGACAGAGGCAUCAUGGGAACUCCUGGGAAUUGUUCUUUUCUCCUUAGAUGGGGAUUUCCUUAAAUACUCAGCCAUUGUUCUGGCGCUCAAGAACUCAAGAGGCUGAGUCUUCAGCUGUCCCCUCUGCUGGCCCCAGGAGUCUGGGUUCCCAACCACCCUCUCUCUCAAGACCUAGGUAUCUGGCCUACAUACCCAUAAAAAUGGCCCCGCACAAACUCCUGGAUUCGAGCCUUGCUCUGAGCAUGGAGGUUCUGGAACUCAUGCAUGGCAGAGAAUUUCUUCACAUUCAGUCCAUUGGGGGUCACGAUAUCUGGGAUUGGGGGAGAAGGUCCCACAUUUCAUUUCUUCAUUUCUUCGUUCAGAUCAAUGUGGCUGAAUGAAUAAAUGAAGGAAAGACCC